CAGCCUGAAAUGAUAAUUCUUUAAAUUUCAAAUCUCUUGACAUUUUUGUUUGAUAAUAGCUUUUACCUUGUUGAUGUGAUCAGUCUG